CAAACAGAGAAAUGAGUUUUACUCCAGUUAUUCAUAUCUAUAAUUAUUUCAUAACAUAACUUUAAUUAAUCCUUUACUGCAGUCCCUGAUAAAAAACAAACCAGAAGCGGAUUUUCGGUUGUUUAGUGAUUGUGUAGCAGUAGGUAGAAUGCAUUCUUUAUUCUUGAGUAGUUAAAAUAUUAAUCAUAUGAAGAAAUUUUCCUCUAAUGCAUCCCUAUUUAAAUGGCAAUGGCAUUAAUCAUUGUGUGGAUUCUUUAUCUUACUACUCUCAAAUUCUCUUAUUUUUAAUUAAAGAUUUUUUCUGUUUUUUGACCAACUGUAACAUUUUGAUCACUAGUGACACAGGUGUUUGUGUUAGCUAAAAAAACAAUUGAAAUUUUGUUCUUUGGAAAAAUUGUAGGCUAGAAAGAACCAAUUGAAAGUUUGUGCUUUGGAAACAACCAUUUAUUACAAAUAAAAUCACAAUAUAACAUUAAAAAACAUCUAGAAUGAAAGGUAAGUUUGAUAAUACAAAAAACAUCAUUUGUGUAGAAAUUGUUACAUUAUAACUAAAAAACUUGUUAAAAUAGCUAAGGUUUCUAAAAUCAAAUUUUAAUUAGUAAUUAAGUGAUGAUGUUAAGUCGUUAAGACGUUGAUUUUGCGGUAAAUUGUUCUUAAAAAAUACAUCAGGAUUUUCAAAUCAGGUUUAAUAAAAACUUUUAAUUGCUAUGAUGCCCCUUUUUUUCUUUAUGUUGAUAGAUAAUAAUUCCUCACCCUUUCAAAAAACUAACUAUACGAGUUUUUACCAACUAUAAUUAAACUUAUGAUCAGCUUUGUAAACACCAGUUUUGAAAUUCAUAUUUGCAUUACUCGUCCCCAAAGGGUUAAGGUACAUUUUGGAUUUGGAAGUUAUGAUAAAACAGGAAAGUAACUUUUAUUACUUGCUAAUUUAAACUUGAAAAAUUAUUCUUAAAUUCAUGAUUGAUUUCAAUUAAGAGAUUAAAGAAUAAAUGUGAAAGUUAAGAAUUGAGAUAUGUGAAUAUUAUCCUGGCAAAAAAAAAACAAAAAAAUUACUUGGAGAAAACAGAUCUAUAUGACCACUUACGAGCUCAAUAUAGUUUAGAAGUAAUAAAAAUAACUAACAACACCAACUGGAUUAAGACUGAAAAUAAUAUCAAUUUAUUCACCCAUCUCAGAUCUCAUAUUGAAUUAAAGCAAUGAGAUUAGAAUUAGGACUAACUUAAUAGUUGCUAAAACACAUAGUAGACAUACAAAUGUUGAAAGGUAUCAGUUAAUAAAGCAUUGCAGGUAAAAGUUAUUUACAGUUAACUAACAUUAAGUUUCAACUUUCAAUUAAUUAUUUACUUCGCAUUCUGCUGCUUUUGUUACCAGCCCUAAUACCAUAACUUUUUUAGAGAAAUGUUUGCAAAGAUGUUGUGCAAAUAUUGUUUAUACUAUAGAUAUCAUUUGGUUGUUAUAAAUUUAACCAACUUCUUUCACAAUAGCACACCAGGUAUUCUGACAUGCAAAUGAACAAUCCCAUAAUAUAAACUGUUGUUCUUAGGCAUAAUAUAAAAACUAUUCAUGCUAAUAUACCUACAUGUUAAAAAUUUAAAGAGUCCGGCCCACGGUUCUCACGGUUGCGCAGCUUUUUGCAUAAGAAUAAAGUUUUAUGUCUACUGAUGAACAGCUAGUUUGUGAAAAUUUCUUUAAUUUAAAAGAUAUGAACGUUGAAAAAAUCAAAUUUCAAAGUUGUAAAAACGUCACUCGCAGGCACUGUCACAAUACAAUAUUUCGUUUAUGGGGAAAACCCCGCCUAUCAGCGGUUUACCGUUUAUUGGUGCAAUUUUGAUAGAUAAGCAAAUCAAAGCGUUUUUUUGUAUUAACAAUACUUUAAAUGGCUUCAGCGAUUUAUUGAAAGUUAUUUCCUGGGAAUCAGUGUAUAACCACACAAAAUAGCCUACCAAGCUUAGUGGAGAAUUAGUUUUCGUGACUUUCCAGGGUUCAGAUUUUAAAUUGUUUUCGUUUUUUCCUCAUAUGGCAUAGACUAUAUUUAUAUCUGUAUUUAAAGAUACCUUAUAGGAGUUUACCAUAAGCCGAGUAAUCAUGCCUGAUUGGUGCUGUGUUUAAAAUAGCAAGACAAGAAUGACUAAAGCGAUAAUAAGUAUAUAUAUAUAUAGGUGUGUGUGUUUUCAAUUUCAAAAGGAAGAGUGGGGCAUAGAAAAAAAGAAACAUUACAUUGGAUAUGCAAGGAAACUUGUUCGGAUCAAGUAAGUAGCAUUUAUUUGGAGAGCGCAGAAGAACACAGAAGAAACAGAUUCACGUACAAGCAGUCUUUAUUCAAAACAAUGAAAAUAAUCCAAUACUUAAAUGUGUAUUUCUAAAAAUGUUGAAUGAAAACAACAUAACUCUUGCAUGAAUCACAUUUUGUAUGAAACAGGACCAUUCAAAACUGAAUGAUGAAAUAUUCUUGCUGUUGUUGAACUGUCACUAUAAUGUUGUUCGCUUAUACUUUUAAUCAGUACUGAUGGAACCUUUCUGUUUUCCUUUUUCACUCAUUCCCGUACCUAUCGAACAAAGUUCUGAUCAGCUGUGUAGAUACUGUUUAAACAAAAUAAACGCCAUAAACAUGUGGUUGGCCAUCUUUUUGGUAUGAAGGCCAACAAUAAAUACUAUAUUAGUGUAAAUUGA